GGGAAAAGGAACUAAAUAGGAUUCCCUCAGUAAUGGCGAAUGAACAGGGAUGAGCUCAGGCUGGAAACCGAUACAUCUGUGUCGGGCUGUAGCCUGCAGGCAUAGCGCUAUCGGCGGCUCGAGCGCAAGCCUCUUGGAAUAGAGCGUGUGCCCGGGUGAGAAUCCUGCAUUUCGCUCGAUGUCCGCUGUCCACAGUGCUUGUCCUGAGAGUCACGCUCCUCGGAAUUGGAGCGUAAAUCAGGUGGUAAGUUUCAUCCAAAGCUAAAUAGAAGCUCGAGACCAAUAGCAAACAAGUACCAUGAGGGAAAGAUGAAAAGGACUUUGGAAAGAGAGUUAAAAGUGUUUGAAAUUGCUGAGAGCGAAGCGAACGGAGCCACAUGUCGUGCUGAGAUUGCUGUGGGUCUUUGUGAGCCUUGAGCAUGUAAGCGCAAGCUGACUGCUUAUGUGUGAGCAUUUGCCCGCAGUGUUUCUCAGCAUGCGAGUCAUUAGCCACAUUUGUUUGAGGAUGGCCUUCAGCUCACAUGGUACACUUGUUAGUGUUCCUCUGUGCGGUGUGGGACUCAGACAGGUGU
rnacentral:rRNA from 2 species